rnacentral:misc_RNA from 1 species
AAUUAUGUAUGUAGACUAUGGAUAUAUAGUUUGAUUUCAUUAGAUAUUAAAUUUAUGUAAUUAGGGUUCUUGAGCAUAUGAAAAUUUGGAGAAAAAUUGAAGAAUUAGUCAAUUGAUGCAAUUGACCUUAGUUGAGUUGAGAAAUGGUCAAUUGGGACCAUUUGUGAUGUGUUUGAAUGGGUAGAAUGAGAUUACAAUUCGGAUUGGUUAGG